CCGAGAAUAUUCGACAAUGGACGAAAGUCUGAUCGAGUGACACCGCGUGAUUGAUGAAGUCCCUAUGGGACGUAAAGAUCUUUUAUGAGGGAGGAAGUUUAUUGACGUUACCUCAUGAAUAAGGAGCUCCUAAUCUCGUGCCAGCAGGAGCGGUAAUACGAGAGCUUCGAGCGUUAUCCGGAAUUAUUGGGCGUAAAGGGUGCGUAGGUUGCAAUGUUAGUCUUUUGUCAAAUCCUUGUGCUUAACAUAAGGGCUGCGAAAGAAACGGCAUAGCUUGAAAGUGUGAGAGGCGUACGGAACUCAUGGUGUAGGGGUGAAAUCCGUUGAUAUCAUGGGGAACACCAAAUGCGAAGGCAGUACGCUGGCGCAUAUUUGACACUGAAGCACGAAAGCGUGGGUAGCGAAUGGG
rnacentral:rRNA from 1 species